AUUCCAAUCGAACUCGGAGAUAGCUGGUUCUCCCCGAAAUAGCUUUAGGGCUAGCCUCGAUUUAGAUUAUUGGGGGUAGAGCACUGAAUGGGCUAGGGGGCCACAAAGCUUACUGAACCCUAUCAAACUGCGAAUACCAAUUAAUUGAUGAUCGGGAGUCAGACAGUGAGAGAUAAGUUCCAUUGUCGAAAGGGAAACAGCCCAGAUCCACGACUAAGGUCCCAAAAUACACGUUAAGUGGAAAAGGAUGUGCAGUUGCACAGACAACCAGGAUGUUGGCUUAGAAGCAGCCACUCAUUCAAAGAGUGCGUAAUAGCUCACUGGUCGAGUGAAUGUGCGCCGAAAAUAUACCGGGGCUAAACGUGAUACCGAAGUCUGGGGAUCAAGAAAUUGAUCGGUAGGGGAGCAACGCAUACGGACAGAAGCAGAAGCGGGAGCGACUGUGGACUGUAUGGGAGAGAGAAUGCCGGCAUGAGUAGCGAGAGCAAAGUGAGAAUCUUUGCCGUCGAAAGCCUAAGGUUUCCUGAGGAAGGCUCGUCCUCUCAGGGUAAGUCGGGACCUAAGCCGAGGACAAGAGUCGUAGGCGAUGGACAACAGGUUGAUAUUCCUGUACCGUACUUAAGCGUUUGACUGAAGCAGUGACACAGAAGGAUAGACAGACCGGGGGAAUGGUAGACUCCGGCCAAGCAGUGAGGCUGACAUGUAGUGAAGUACGCAUGUUAAGGCUGGGCUGUGAUGGGGACUGAAGAUUAGUAAGGAAGCUGUUGAAUUCACACUGGCGAGAAAAGCUGCUAAGGAGCGAGAGUAUGCCCGUACCGCAAACCGACACAGGUAGGCGAGGAGAGAAUCCUAAGACGAGCGGGAGAACCCUUGUUAAGGAACUCGGCAAAAUGACUCCGUAACUUAGGGAGAAGGAGUGCCCAGGAAUGGGCCGCAGAGAAUAGACCCAAGCGACUGUUUACCAAAAACACAGGUCUGUGCGAAGUAGAGAUACGACGUAUACGGGCUGACACCUGCCCAGUGCCGGAAGGUUAAGGGGAAAUGUUAGGGCAACCGAAGCAUGGAACUUAAGCCCCGGUGAACGGCGGCCGUAACUAUAACGGUCCUAAGGUAGCGAAAUUCCUUGUCGGGUAAGUUCCGACCCGCACGAAUGGUGUAACGAUUUGGGUACUGUCUCAACAAGGGACCCGGCGAAAUUGUAGUAUGUGUGAAGAUGCACAUUACCCGCGAUAGGACGGAAAGACCCCGUAGAGCUUUACUGUAGUUUAACAUUGGAUUUUGAUAACACAUGUACAGGAUAGGUGGGAGGCUGAGAAACCGGCACGCCAGUGCCGAUGGAGCCGCUGUUGGGAUACCACUCUUGUGUUAUUGGAGUUCUAACGAAGUGCCGUAAACCGGGCUUCGGACAGUGUUAGAUGGGCAGUUUGACUGGGGCGGUCGCCUCCGAAAGAGUAACGGAGGCGUCCAAAGGUUCCCUCAGAAUGGUUGGAAACCAUUCACAGAGUGCAAAGGCAGAAGGGAGCUUGACUGCGAGACCGACAGGUCGAGCAGGUACGAAAGUAGGGCUUAGUGAUCCGGCGGUAUGAGAGUGGAAUUGCCGUCGCUCAACGGAUAAAAGCUACCUCGGGGAUAACAGGCUGAUCUCCCCCAAGAGUCCACAU
rnacentral:rRNA from 1 species